CACGUAGGGGGCGAGCGUUGUCCGGAUUUAUUGGGCGUAAAGAGCUCGUAGGCGGCUCGGUAAGUCGGGUGUGAAACCUCCAGGCUCAACCUGGAGACGCCACCCGAUACUGCCGUGGCUAGAGUCCGGUAGAGAAGCGUAGAAUUCCUGGUGUAGCGGUGAAAUGCGCAGAUAUCAGGAGGAAUACCAGCGGCGAAGGCGGCGCUCUGGGCCGGUACUGACGCUGAGGAGCGAAAGCGUGGGGAGCAAACAGG
rnacentral:rRNA from 1 species